UUGGAGGAAAGAGCAGAGCAGAUCCGUUCCAAGUCCCACCUCAUCCAGGUGGAGCGGGAGAAGAUGCAGAUGGAGCUGAGUCACAAGAGGGCUUGAGUGGAGCUGGAGAGAGCAGCCAGCACCAGUGCCAGGAACUAUGAGCGCGAGGUUGACCGCAACCAGGAGCUCCUGACGCGCAUCCGGCAGCUUCAGGAGCGUGAGGCCGGCGCAGAGGAGAAGAUACAGGAGCAGCUGGAGCGCAGUAGGCAGUGUCAGCAGAACCUGGACG